rnacentral:rRNA from 1 species
GACGAACGCUGGCGGCGUGCCUAAUACAUGCAAGUUGAACGAUGAAGAUUCGUGCUUGCACCAAUUUGAAGAGCAGCGAACGGGUGAGUAACGCGUGGGGAAUCUGCCUUUGAGCGGGGGACAACAUUUGGAAACGAAUGCUAAUACCGCAUAACAACUUUAAACAUAAGUUUUAAGUUUGAAAGAUGCAAUUGCAUCACUCAAAGAUGAUCCCGCGUUGUAUUAGCUAGUUGGUGAGGUAAAGGCUCACCAAGGCGAUGAUACAUAGCCGACCUGAGAGGGUGAUCGGCCACAGUGGGACUGAGACACGGCCCAAACUCCUACGGGAGGCAGCAGUAGGGAAUCUUCGGAAAUGGACGAAAGUCUGACCGAGCAACGCCGCGUGAGUGAAGAAGGUUGUCGGAUCGUAAAACUCUGUUGGUAGAGAAGAACGUUGGUGAGAGUGGAAAGCUCAUCAAGUGACGGUAACUACCCAGAAAGGGACGGCUAACUACGUG